CUGGUGUCUAAACUGAUUUCUUUAUACUCUGUGAAAGACUUAUUCUAUUUUUCUGAACUAUGCUGAACUAUUGAACUAUUUUUUAUUUUAAUUUUUUACUUUUGUAGAGUUAGCCGGAGAGAGAGAGGAAGUGUUAGCUGACCCAGAGUUAGCUGUACUAUGUGUGUUUUUGAUAUAUGUUGAGUGUGCCAAGGAUGGAUUCCCAUGUUUUGUGAAACUGCGUGAGGAUAUGACUGGUUUUGACUGGACCUUUGGAAUAGGGAAAUGGUUAAAAGAUAUAGGACGCAAGGUCCUGGUUAUUAUUGUCAGAAU